UUCGACUCUUCGUCUUAUUUAAAUUUUUUUACGAUUAAUAUUUUUAUCGUUACUAGAUGAUAAAACAUGAAUAACACUUUAUGCGUGACUAAUUUUUUUAAGUUUUUAUACAAACUUUUUAUAUAAGAUGAAUGGUUAAA
rnacentral:pre_miRNA from 1 species